UUUUGAAAUUUUCAAGCCAGC
rnacentral:piRNA from 1 species